rnacentral:rRNA from 1 species
UAGGGAAUCUUCCACAAUGGACGCAAGUCUGAUGGAGCAACGCCGCGUGAGUGAAGAAGGUUUUCGGACCGUAAAGCUCUGUUGUUGGUGAAGAAGGAUAGAGGUAGUAACUGGCCUUUAUUUGACGGUAAUCAACCAGAAAGUCACGGCUAACUACGUGCCAGCAGCCGCGGUAAUACGUAGGUGGCAAGCGUUGUCCGGAUUUAUUGGGCGUAAAGCGAGCGCAGGCGGAAGAAUAAGUCUGAUGUGAAAGCCCUCGGCUUAACCGAGGAAUUGCAUCGGAAACUGUUUUCUUGAGUGCAGAAGAGGAGAGUAGAACUCCAUGUGUAGCGGUGGAAUGCGUAGAUAUAUGGAAGAAUACCAGUGGCGAAGGCGGCUCUCUGGUCUGCAACUGACGCUGAGGCUCGAAAGCAUGGGUAGCGAACAGGAUUAGAUACCCUGGUAGUCCAUGCCGUAAACGAUGAGUGCUAAGUGUUGGGAGGCUUCCGCCUCUCAGUGCUGCAGCUAACGCCCAUUAAGCACUCCGCCUGGGGGAGUACGACCGCAAGGUUGAAAC